GAUGAACGCUGGCGGCGUGCCUAAUACAUGCAAGUCGAGCGAAUGGAUUGAGAGCUUGCUCUUAUGAAGUUAGCGGCAGACGGGUGAGUAACACGUGGGUAACCUGCCCAUAAGACUGGGAUAACUCCGGGAAACCGGGGCUAAUACCGGAUAACAUUUUGAACCGCAUGGUUCGAAAUUGAAAGGCGGCUUCGGCUGUCACUUAUGGAUGGACCCGCGUCGCAUUAGCUAGUUGGUGAGGUAACGGCUCACCAAGGCAACGAUGCGUAGCCGACCUGAGAGGGUGAUCGGCCACACUGGGACUGAGACACGGACCAGACUCCUACGGGAGGCAGCAGUAGGGAAUCUUCCGCAAUGGACGAAAGUCUGACGGAGCAACGCCGCGUGAGUGAUGAAGGCUUUCGGGUCGUAAAACUCUGUUGUUAGGGAAGAACAAGUGCUAGUUGAAUAAGCUGGCACCUUGACGGUACCUAACCAGAAAGCCACGGCUAACUACGUGCCAGCCGCCGCAGUAA
rnacentral:rRNA from 1 species